UUUACCAUGAUGUUUUUGGGGAUUUCAAAAAGUCAUGUGCUUGUUUCAAAUUCCAGCGGAAAAAAAACAGUUUGGAGCUUUUGAAAAACUUCAACAUCAAUCACGCACUCCAACUCGCGAUGGUAAAUAUGGUGGCUUUAUUCAGACAUGGAGUAAGCAGUAUUUUGAAGAGUUGAACAAAAACCGCUCCAGAGUAUCCCAACCCAAAAUAGUCUCGGGACAAACUCCUGGUCCUUUCUCUAAAGGCAUGCCCAGUGCUUUUCUUCCACUAAAGCAAUGUCAACCUGUUAACAGUAUUUCCAGGGAUGAGCAAAAUGAACAGGUAGACAUUGAAUGUCAAAACAAGGAGCAAAGCAC
rnacentral:lncRNA from 1 species